UACGAAGGGGGCUAGCGUUGCUCGGAAUCACUGGGCGUAAAGCGCACGUAGGCGGAUUGUUAAGUCAGGGGUGAAAUCCUGGAGCUCAACUCCAGAACUGCCUUUGAUACUGGCGAUCUAGAGUCCGGAAGAGGAGAGUGGAAUUCCUGGUGUAGCGGUGAAAUGCGCAGAUAUCAGGAAGAACACCCGUGGCGAAGGCGGCUCUCUGGGACGGUACUGACGCUGAGACGCGAAAGCGUGGGGAGCAAACAGG
rnacentral:rRNA from 1 species